AGACUUAUUCUUAUCUUGGGUAGAGUGAGCGCCGACUCUAAAGACUAGCAGGCAAACUGUUCUAUAAAAUCACUGAACCAACAUUGGUCCCCUUUGCCUGCUAUUGAUUGUAAUAACUUUUGAUGAAGUUAUCUCACGGAAGAAAAUGCUGUCUUGGCUCUUCAUAUUUUGUGUAGUUCAUGAACGCUUUUUUGCCUUGUGAAUUAAAUACUCUACUGCCCGUCCUUUCUUUUCUUUUUUUCUUUUUUUUUUGUUAUUGUUGUAUAAUUUAGUCCCAUAUAUGGGAGACGACCCAUUUAGCCGCCCUCAAGUUACAACAAAUCGUAACUGAAAUAUAUGUUGAAGAAGUAUGCGUCUUGAAAGAACGGGGAUCCGUUUCUCUCUCAAUAUGCAAGGGGAUUGGUUUGAAGUAUUCAAAUGUGUAUGAGUUUCAAACUCGUGUUGUAGGAUGGCUAGGAUCAUGUAGACAUCCGAGGAUUGUCAUCUUCUUUAAUCCUGUCUCCACCCACCUUGCCACCGUUUCGCAUUUACUGAUGCACAAGCUAAAGAAGGAAGUAGAGUCGUAGCCAAAGGAGAAAGGAGCUCUGGAGACUCGAGCAACUGAGGCUGAGAACAAGAUGCUUGAAUUGAACUCGAAACUAGAAAAAAAUGAGUCUUCUUUUUUUUCCCCCUUUUCUUUCUGUAUUGAUGAAUUCACGUUACAGUUAUAUAUACACAUAUAUAAAAAUUGGGAUACCUGUCUUGUU